rnacentral:sRNA from 1 species
UUUUUUUUCUCUGUUUUUUCCUGACGAAUCAGUUGCCGUCACGUCACUCGAUACUGGGUAUUAGAAGUAUCAUUCCACUCUGAUCAGGUCCAACUGUAUACUCUGAUCCAUUAAACAAUUAUUGAUGGGCUUCUGAUACUCUGAUUAUAUCAGCUAUGUACAUGGUCUUACCCCUUUAAU